AUCGCCUCUUCGAAACCUUCAAGACAGCGAAACGAAACGCUUCAUUAACGUAGUUAGGUCUUAAUAGUACGGAUAACUUAGAUACUGUUACUCUCCUGUUUUCUGACUGAUCGGAAGUUGACAGGGACAAACGCAGCAUUAACUGGGACAAAGGCAAACCACAAAGAUAACCUCUGAGGCAAAGAUAACCACAGUACUUGAAAUGAUACCACCAACAGAUCCUGCCAGAAUAUCUUGCUCAUUGCCCAAAGCUGCAGAAAUGAUGUCCUUAUCAGUACAGUUGAUGAACAUAUUGUUGCAGAUACUUAUCAUGUGGGCACAAAUGUUGGCUCUGUGGGCUCGGAUAAUAUCCAUAACAGCUCAGUUAAUUGCACUCCUAGCCAGAAUAUUAACUAUUGCAAUGGAAGGGAUAGCUCCUGCAACUGAAGUGUUGUUAUCAAUUGCCAAGACACUUAGCCCGGUUGUCAAAGUGAUGGCCACUGCGGUGGAUUUUAUGAAACCUGUGAUUGUCAAGAACAUGACGGAAAAUACCAACUCCGGUGUUUCUGAUUGUCGAGUUAUGUGAGCAAGAUGAAACUUAUUGGUUGUGCUUCCUUCAUACAUACCAGCCAGUAGGAUACCCUGCCAGUGGGAAGAACCACAUAGUGCAUCAUACCAUUUUGCGAAGUAUGCAUAAGCCUAAUAUCUUGUAAUCUAUGUAUUUGAAUCUUGAAUAAUUUUUAUGAAUGUUUUGAGGGUAAAUCACUUCCCCUCUCUCUCUCUCUCUCUCUCUCUCUCUCUCUCUCUCUCUCUCUCUCUCUCUCUCU